rnacentral:rRNA from 1 species
UGGGGAAUAUUGCACAAUGGCGGGAACUCUGAUGCAGCGACGCCGCGUGAACGAAGAAGGCUUUCGAGUCGUAAAGUUCUUUUAUAUGGGAAGAUAAUGACGGUACCAUAAGAAAAAGCCCCGGCUAACUACGUGCCAGCAGCCGCGGUAAUACGUAGGGGGCUAGCGUUGUCCGGAAUAACUGGGCGUAAAGGGUUCGCAGGCGGAAAUGCAAGUCAGGUGUAAAAGGCAGUAGCUUAACUACUGUAAGCAUUUGAAGCUGCAUAUCUUGAGAAGAGUAGAGGUAAGUUGAAUUUUUAGUGUAGCGGUGAAAUGAGUAGAUAUUAAAAAGAAUACCGGUGGCGAAGGCGACUUACUGGGCUCAUUCUGACGCUGAGGAACGAAAGCGUAGGUAGCAAACAGG